UUUGAAAGAUGGCGGACGACGUGGACCAGCAACAAACCACCAACACCGUAGAGGAGCCGCUGGAUCUCAUCAGACUCAGCCUGGAUGAGCGGAUCUAUGUGAAAAUGAGGAACGACCGAGAGCUUCGAGGCAGAUUACACGCUUAUGAUCAGCAUUUAAACAUGAUAUUGGGAGAUGUGGAAGAAACUGUGACCACUAUAGAAAUUGAUGAAGAGACAUAUGAGGAGAUAUACAAAUCAACAAAACGAAAUAUCCCAAUGCUGUUUGUCCAGGGAGACGGUGUUGUGCUAGUUGCCCCUCCACUAAGAGUUGGUUGAAAUGGAAAUUUUUUCCU